rnacentral:rRNA from 1 species
GGCGAAAGCCUGACGGAGCAAGACCGCGUGAGGGAGGAAGGCUCUUGGGUUGUAAACCUCUUUUCUCAGGGAAGAAGAAAGUGACGGUACCUGAGGAAUCAGCCUCGGCUAACUCCGUGCCAGCAGCCGCGGUAAUACGGAGGAGGCAAGCGUUAUCCGGAAUGAUUGGGCGUAAAGCGUUCGUAGGUGGCAAUUCAAGUCUGCUGUCAAAGACAGUAGCUCAACUACUGCAAGGCAGUGGAAACUGAAUAGCUAGAGUGCGGUAGGGGCAGAGGGAAUUCCCGGUGUAGCGGUGAAAUGCGUAGAGAUCGGGAAGAACACCGGUGGCGAAAGCGCUCUGCUGGGCCGCAACUGACACUGAGGGACGAAAGCUAGGGGAGCGAAUGGGAUUAGAUACCCCAGUAGUC